UACGGAAUGUGCAAACGUUAUUCGGAAUCACUGGGCUUAAAGAGUCCGUAGGCGGCUUGUUAGGUGAGGUGUGAAAGCCCUUGGCCCAACCGAGGAAUUGCGCUUCAAACCGGCAAGCUAGAGGAGGAUAGAGGUGGGCGGAACUGAUGGUGGAGCGGUGAAAUGCGUUGAUAUCAUCAGGAACACCGGAGGCGAAGGCGGUCCACUGGGUCCUUUCUGACGCUGAGGGACGAAAGCUAGGGGAGCGAACGGG
rnacentral:rRNA from 1 species